UAUGCUUAUAAAACGGUUUUUAAAGCAAGAGUAUAUGAUACUACUAACAUAACCUUUGCAUUCAUUUGAUGGACAAUAUAGUUGCCUUAGGGCCUUAGGAUGACUAUGAACCUUUGUUUAGAUUCAACACGAGCCUAGUGUUGAAUCUCAGUCUAGGGAUGGUGAUUGAUUUUAGUUACGCGUUUAAUCACAUUAAGGCGUGUUGUCUUAGGGGCGUUGGAACCAACUACUUCAUUUUCAUGCAUAUCAAAGUAAAGGUGAGCUUAUGCUCAUUACAACAUUUGCAUAAAACAAAUUACCUUAAAGUAAAGAAGGGCUUAUGCCCUUUUACAACAUUUGAUCAAAUCAAAUUACAACCAUUUAAACAAAUGGAGGGUGACCGGUUUUGGGAGAGGAAAGGAGUGAUGUGUGUGUUGAUUUGUGAGUUUUGACAUAAAGCAUGCAAGUGGUGCAAGUGGUGUGUGUGAAAGGAAAUUAAUCCUUACACACCCACCAAUAUUUCUUACACCAUUUAAACAAAUAUCUAAAACAUAUAAACAUUUGAAAAUACAUAAAACAUAAACUUUAUGAAAUAAAUCAAAACUUUGAAUCAAAACACAAUACUUUUUGUUCUUGGCAAAAAUGUCAAGAACAAUGAAGAACAUUCAUGAAAAACCCAAAAAAUUUCCAUGAACAUUUUUCAUCCAAAAACAUCCCAAAACCAUUCAAACUUUAGGGAAAUAACAUAUAACCAAACUAGGGUACAUAGGGGUUCCAAAAGUCACUUGAAAACACUUUUAACAAGUCAAACAAGAACCCAAAAUUUCACCCUAUGUAUUUGGCCGAAAAUCCCCAAAAUCAUGGCACCAAAUUUUAGCUCCAAUAUUCAUGCUCAUAAGAACUACAUCUACAACAUUUGAGAUGGCAAAUUUUCUAACAAAAUUUACAUUCAAAGAAACAAGAAUAUAGCUUGUAACAUAUUACAACUUUUAAAUCACAAAUUAUGAACUACAAAAUCCAAAAGGAUUCACCAACUACUAGACCUAGGCUCUGAUACCACUUGAAGGAAGAUUUUGUGAAAACAUAUUAAUUUGAGCAACAUCAUAUAGCAUGCAAUUAACAAUUAAAGGCGGAAUCAUGCUUGCAUGUACUCAAAAACAAAACAUUACCCAUGAAAUUCAAAGCCUAGUAGAUUGGUGAACCAAAAC
rnacentral:lncRNA from 1 species